UACACGCUGUGACUAGCAUAUCAAUAAGCGGAGGAAAAGAAACUAACAAGGAUUCCCCUAGUAACGGCGAGUGAAGCGGGAAGAGCUCAAAUUUGAAAUCUUAAAGGGUUUCCCUUUACGAAUUGUAGUUUAAAGAAGUGUUUUCUGUUGAGGUUUUGGUAAAAGUUCUUUGGAAUAGGACAUCAUAGAGGGUGAGAAUCUCGUAUUUGACCUUUACUUUCAACUUUGUGAUACACUUUCAAAGAGUCGGAUUGUUUGGGAAUGCAGUCCAAAAUGGGUGGUAAAUUUCAUCUAAAGCUAAAUAUUGGCGAGAGACCGAUAGCGAACAAGUACCGUGAGGGAAAGAUGAAAAGAACUUUGAAAAGAGAGUUAAACAGUACGUGAAGUUGUCAAAAGGGAAGCGUUUGACACCAGUGUUGUUUUUCUGAAAAUCAAUUAAAGAACUGUUUAUGCUAAGCUGUUUAGACUUUAUCAGCUAUCUGUUUAGUUUUGAGCUUUUCUUUAAUGCACUUUUCAGUUAACAAGUCAACAUCAAUUUCUUUUGCUGUAAAAAAGCUUGAGGAAGGUGGCUUGAGAUUCGUCUUAAGUGUUUAUAGCCUCUUGCCUAUGCAGUCGGAGAGAUUGAGGUCUGCAGCGUAGAUCCUUCGGGGCUAAAUGCAUUUGUGCUAAGUUAUAGCAUUUUAUAGACAACUUGUUGACUAUGAUUUGUCUUGUAGCUUACUCGCUUAUGUUAUUUUACCUACGCUUAGGAUGUUGAUAUGCAUGACUGAUAU
rnacentral:rRNA from 1 species